rnacentral:rRNA from 1 species
GACGAACGCUGGCGGCGUGCUUAACACAUGCAAGUCGAACGAAGUGGCGAACGGGUGAGUAACGCGUAAUCAACCUGCCCUUCAGAGGGGGACAACAGUUGGAAACGACUGCUAAUACCUCCUACUGCAGGAGGGGAUUGCGUCUGAUUAGCUCGUUGGCGGGGUAACGGCCCACCAAGGCGAUGAUCAGUAGGCGGUGUGAGAGGAUGAACGGCCACAUUGGGACUGAGAAACGGCCCAGAAUCCUAAGGGAGGCAGCAGUGGGGAAUCUUCCGAAAUGGACGAAAGUCUGAAGGAGCAACGCCGCGUGAGUGAUGAAGGCCUUCGGGUUGUAAAGCUCUGUUAAGCGGGACGCGGUACCGGAAUAGAAAGCCACGGAUAACUACGUGCCAGCAGCCGCGGUAAUUC